CGGAGUGUCGUAUAAUGGUAGUAUAUGUGCUUUGGGAGCAUAUGAUCUGGGUUCGAUUCCCAGCACUCCGA
rnacentral:tRNA from 1 species